AUUGAACGCUGGCGGCAGGCCUAACACAUGCAAGUCGAACGAGUGGCGGACUGGUGAUUAAUUUCUGGGCAACUGCCCGAUGGAGGGGUAUACCUAGUGGAAACGGUAGCUAAUACCGCAUACCAUCGGAUGUGCCCAGAUGGGAUUAGCUAGUAGGUGGGGUAAAGGCUCACCUAGGCGACGAUCCCUAGCUGGUCUGAGAGGAUGACCAGCCACACUGGAACGGAGACACGGUCCAGACUCCGACGGGAGGCAGCAGUGGGGAAUAUUGCACAAUGGGCGCAAGCCUGACGCAGCCAUGCCGCGUGUAUGAAGAAGGCCUUCGGGUUGUAAAGUACUUUCAGCGGGGAGGCGUUACCCGCAGAAGAAGCACCGGCUAACUCCGUGCCAGCAGCCGCGGUAAUUC
rnacentral:rRNA from 1 species